AUUGAACGCUGGCGGCAUGCUUUACACAUGCAAGUCGAACGGCAGCGCGGGCUUCGGCCUGGCGGCGAGUGGCGAACGGGUGAGUAAUGCAUCGGAACGUGCCCAGUAGUGGGGGAUAGCCCGGCUAAAUCCGGAUUAAUACCGCAUACGACCUGAGGGUGAAAGCGGGGGACCGAAAGGCCUCGCGCUAUUGGAGCGGCCGAUGUCGGAUUAGCUAGUUGGUGGGGUAAAGGCUUACCAAGGCGACGAUCCGUAGCUGGUCUGAGAGGACGACCAGCCACACUGGGACUGAGACACGGCCCAGACUCCUAAGGGAGGCAGCAGUGGGGAAUUUUGGACAAUGGGGGCAACCCUGAUCCAGCCAUGCCGCGUGCGGGAAGAAGGCAUUCGGGUUGUAAACCGCUUUUGUUCGGGAAGAAAUCCUCUGGGCUAAUACCCCGGGGGGAUGACGGUACCGGAAGAAUAAGCACCGGCUAAAUACGUG
rnacentral:rRNA from 1 species